rnacentral:lncRNA from 10 species
GUAACGCCCGGCCCUGCCCCCAGCAGAGGCGGAAGCGGUGUCGCUCUGAGGGGUCGCCAGUCGCCGCAGGCGCUUCAGCCCAGCGGCGGGCCUUGGCCCUUGGCUGCCUACUCCUACCGCCCCAGCCCCGGGCGGCCCUGGGCCUGCUGCGGGCGCGGCGCUGCCCGACCAGAGCUUCCUGUGGAACGUCUUCCAGAGGGUCGAUAAAGACAGGAGUGGAGUGAUAUCAGACACCGAGCUUCAGCAAGCUCUCUCCAACGGCACGUGGACUCCCUUUAAUCCAGUGACUGUCAGGUCGAUCAUAUACUACACUGAAGGCUGGUUACGCUCUUAUGUGCAAUAGAACCUCAAACACAUCGUAACACACCUUUGGAGAAUCCUUACAAGAACACCAAGUUAACAGUUAUCUCUGACCACACUACCUCAGCAAAAAACCAGGAAGAAAAAAUAUUCUUCAACCCUUUUCAGGGACAGAAAGCAUCAUUUCAAAAGUCCAAGAAGGGAAGGUAAGAAUUUCAGAAGUGAAAGUUAUCAUGAAAGGCUAUAAAAGCUUGAGAUGAGUCUGAAAAACAAAUGGAAAAUGAGUCACUUCAGGGCCUCUCCCAGCCUCAAAGCCAAUUAAUUAUUACAUUAGUCAGAGUAAUUUUAAGCCUUCCAAUCCACUCACCCUAGCCACAGGCAACAGUAGCCUCUCCAAGUGUUAAGGGUUUUUUUCCCAAGCCUGCAGGCGGAUGAGCUUUUUACAUGGCAGCCCCUUAGGAUUGGAUGUGGACCUGCCCUGUCUUUCACCAAGAAGCAAGCACUGCGCAGAUCACUGAAUCAUAAAAACCACCUGCUCUUACCAGCCUCCUCUUCCUCUACAGCAAAACUUCUGACCUGAGACAUCGAAGCAGAUAAAAAGCCGCUACACAAAAUGUAUCGCUACAACUAGAGGGCAGUCUUGCCUUUCUUCCAUUCAAUUAUUCAGUUUCUCAUGUUCCUAAGUGCCAGCCCAGAACCAUGGAAUGUGAAGAAACACAAAACUCACUCCUCUGCAUCAGUGAAUUGAUUGUGUGGUGGGGAUGUAAGUCUGCAUGUGACUGACAGUUCCCCAAAGUGGUGCCAAGUCAAUCUAAACUAGAGAGAAUUUCUGGCCAGGCCAAGCAGAGAUUUCAUGGAUGAAGUCUCCCAAAGACUGAUUUCCUAAACAUUAAACAUCACUGGUUUUCCAAAACUGGUUUUCUUUUUUUUUUUUUAACCCUGUUUCUCAGGCUGGAGGGCAAGUGGUGCCAUCUCCACUCACUGCAGCCUCGACCUCCCAGGCUCCACUGAUCUUCCCACCUCAGCCUCCUGAGUAGCUGGGACUACAGGUGUGCACCGCCACGACUCGCUAAUUUUUGUAUUUUUUGUAGAGACGGGGUUUUGCUGUGUUGCUCAGGCUGGUCACUCGAUCUGCCCACCUGGGUCUCGCAGAGUGCUGGGGUUACAGGUAUGAGCCACCACGCCCAGCCCACUGGUUUCCUUUACACCCGUUUUGUUCCCCAGCAGUCCUUAUGAGGGCACCUGAAAUAAGGAACCUCCUCCCCGACUUGAGAGCAGCAAAGCCUUCAGAGGGAACUAAGUUAUUAAAACCCACCCCACACAAAAUGCUUCUAAACGCCUUGGCUGACUUAAUCCUUGCAGUGUGCUGAGGUUAAGUAUGAUUAUCCAUCUCCUGUGAACAGGAAGACUGAGGCUCAGAGCUUAAGUGAUUUGCCCACGGUUCACUGCAGGGGAUAAAACUCGGCUGUCCCUGGCAGGUCCCAAAGUCACGGCCUUCAGGCUCCCACACCAUGCUGCCUCCCUCACCGGGGCUCCACACUCUCAGCCUGGAAAACACUAAUUUUAAGAAAACCAUGACUUACGAAAAGCAGCCAAUCCCAGCAUUGGAACCAACAGGGCAUAAUUCCACCUGCUUCCAUCACCACCAUCCGCCCUGGAAUUAGGCCGGAUAUUCCAAUUUGGGGGAUCAUUUAGGUUAUUCAUGGAGAUAUACCUUGAAGUAAAGAAUAAAAACGUUAACUACUUUUAUUCAAGAAAUUUUUCUUCAGUUUUAACUAUGUGCUUGCUGCACAGCACUGAGGCCCUACGGGAUUCAAAGAAGAAAAAAACUAGACCAGAGCCGGGCAUGGUGGCGGGCACCUGUAGUCCCAGCUACUCGGGAGGCUGAGGCAGGAGAAUCGCUUGAACCUGGGAGGUGAAGGUUGCAGUGAGUCGAGGUCGCGCCACUGCACUCCAGCCUGGUGACAGAACGAGACUCCGUCUCAAAAAAAAAGAAAAAGAAAAAGGAAAAAAAAACAAGACCUUAGGUGAAAGCGACUCACAAUCUGGUUGGGGAAAGUGGAGAAAACAGACAUGUCUUAAGCAUCUGAAGUGCAGGUAGAAUCAGGUAAGUUCUCUGGUACAAAUAUAUUUAAAUGUAUGGCUGCUGCGAUGGUUAAUUUUGUUUGUCAACUUGACGGCAUCAUGAGGUGCUCAGAUACAUGGUUAAGCAUUAUUUCUGGGCGUGUCUGUAAGGGUGUUUUUGGAUGAGAUUAGCAAUUGAACCUUUAAACCAA